AGCGAACGCUGGCGGCAGGCCUAACACAUGCAAGUCGAACGCACCUUCGGGUGAGUGGCGGACGGGUGAGUAACACGUGGGAACGUACCUUUUGGUUCGGAAUAACGCAGGGAAACUUGUGCUAAUACCGGAUGUGCCCUUCGGGGGAAAGAUUUAUCGCCAUUAGAGCGGCCCGCGUUAGAUUAGCUAGUUGGUGAGGU
rnacentral:rRNA from 1 species